CGGCAUGGCGGGCGUGCUAUACAUGCAAGUCGAGCGGACAGAUGGGAGCUUGCUCCCUGAUGUUAGCGGCGGACGGGUGAGUAACACGUGGGUAACCUGCCUGUAAGACUGGGAUAACUCCGGGAAACCGGGGCUAAUACCGGAUGGUUGUUUGAACCGCAUGGUUCAAACAUAAAAGGUGGCUUCGGCUACCACUUACAGAUGGACCCGCGGCGCAUUAGCUAGUUGGUGAGGUAACGGCUCACCAAGGCAACGAUGCGUAGCCGACCUGAGAGGGUGAUCGGCCACACUGGGACUGAGACACGGCCCAGACUCCUACGGGAGGCAGCAGUAGGGAAUCUUCCGCAAUGGACGAAAGUCUGACGGAGCAACGCCGCGUGAGUGAUGAAGGUUUUCGGAUCGUAAAGCUCUGUUGUUAGGGAAGAACAAGUACCGUUCGAAAUAGGGCGGUACCUUGACGGUACCUAACCAGAAAGCCACGGCUAACUACGUGCCAGCAGCCGCGGUAAUAACGUAGGUGGCAAGCGUUGUCCGGAAUUAUUGGGCGUAAAGGGGCUCGCAGGCGGUUUCUUAAGUCUGAUGUGAAAGCCCCCGGCUCAACCCGGGGGAGGGUCAUUGGAAACUGGGGAAACUUGAGUGCAGAAGAGGAGAGUGGAAUUCCACGUGUAGCGGUGAAAUGCGUAGAGAAUGUGGAGGAACACCAGUGGCGAAGGCGACUCUCUGGUCUGUAACUGACGCUGAGGAGCGAAAGCGUGGGGAGCGAACAGGAUUAGAUACCCUGGUAGUCCACGCCGUAAACGAUGAGUGCUAAGUGUUUAGGGGUUUCCGCCCCUUAGUGCUGCAGCUAACGCAUUAAGCACUCCGCCUGGGGAGUACGGUCGCAAGACUGAAACUCAAAGGAAUUGACGGGGCCCGCACAGCGGUGAGCAUGUGUUUAAUUCGAAGCAACGCGAAGAACCUUACCAGUCUUGACAUCCUCUGACAUCCUAGAGAUAGACGUCCCUUCGGGGCAGAGUGACAGUGUGCAUGUGUCGUCAGCUCUGUCUGAAAUGUGGUAAGUCCCGCACAGCGCACCUGAUCUAGUGCCAGC
rnacentral:rRNA from 1 species